UACGUAGGGUGCGAGCGUUAAUCGGAAUUACUGGGCGUAAAGCGUGCGCAGGCGGUUUUGUAAGCCAGAUGUGAAAUCCCCGGGCUUAACCUGGGAAUGGCAUUUGGGACUGCAAGGCUGGAGUGCGGCAGAGGAGACUGGAAUUCCUGGUGUAGCAGUGAAAUGCGUAGAUAUCAGGAGGAACACCGAUGGCGAAGGCGGGUCUCUGGGCCGAUACUGACGCUGAGGAGCGAAAGCGUGGGGAGCGAACAGG
rnacentral:rRNA from 1 species